CGGGUGAGUAACGCGUGGAUAACCUGCCUCACACUGGGGGAUAACAGUUAGAAAUGACUGCUAAUACCGCAUGAGCGCACAGUACCGCAUGGUACGGUGUGGAAAACUCCGGUGGUGUGAGAUGGAUCCGCGUCUGAUUAGCCAGUUGGCGGGGUAACGGCCCACCAAAGCGACGAUCAGUAGCCGACCUGAGAGGGUGACCGGCCACAUUGGGACUGAGACACGGCCCAA
rnacentral:rRNA from 1 species